UACGGAGGGUGCGAGCGUUGUCCGGAAUCACUGGGCGUAAAGGGCGCGUAGGCGGCUCAUGAAGGCUGUGGUGAAAGUCCGGGGCUCAACCUCGGAUCGGCCGUGGCGACUCGUGGGCUGGAGCACUGUAGAGGCGGGUGGAAUUCCGGGUGUAGCGGUGGAAUGCGUAGAGAUCCGGAAGAACACCAGUGGCGGAGGCGGCCCGCUGGGCAGUGGCUGACGCUGAAGCGCGACAGCGUGGGGAGCAAACAGG
rnacentral:rRNA from 1 species